UACGGGGGGGGUAAGCGUUGUUCGGAAUUACUGGGCGUAAAGGGUGCGUAGGCGGCGAGGCAAGUCUGGUGUGAAAUCCCGGGGCUCAACCCCGGAACUGCACUGGAUACUGCUUUGCUAGAGUACUGGAGAGGGAACUGGAAUUUACGGUGUAGCAGUGAAAUGCGUAGAUAUCGUAAGGAAGACCAGCGGCGAAGGCGAGUUCCUGGACAGUUACUGACGCUGAGGCGCGAAAGCGUGGGGAGCAAACAGG
rnacentral:rRNA from 1 species